rnacentral:rRNA from 1 species
AUUGAACGCUGGCGGCAUGCCUUACACAUGCAAGUCGAACGGUAACAGGUUAAGCUGACGAGUGGCGAACGGGUGAGUAAUGUAUCGGAACGUGCCCAGUUGUGGGGGAUAACUGCUCGAAAGAGCAGCUAAUACCGCAUACGACCUGAGGGUGAAAGCGGGGGAUCGCAAGACCUCGCGCAAUUGGAGCGGCCGAUAUCAGAUUAGGUAGUUGGUGGGGUAAAGGCCUACCAAGCCUACGAUCUGUAGCUGGUCUGAGAGGACGACCAGCCACACUGGAACUGAGACACGGCCCAGACUCCUACGGGAGGCAGCAGUGGGGAAUUUUGGACAAUGGGCGCAAGCCUGAUCCAGCAAUGCCGCGUGCAGGAAGAAGGCCUUCGGGUUGUAAACUGCUUUUGUACGGAACGAAACGGUCCUGGUUAAUACCUGGGGCUAAUGACGGUACCGUAAGAAUAAGCACCGGCUAACUACGUGCCAGCCGCCGCAGUAAUAC